GUCUCAGGCUGUGUGUAUUAAGGCGACGGCAGUAUUCUGUUCCUGGCCCAAACUCUUUGUGGCAUAUAGAUGGCAACCAUAAGCCAUCAGGUGGAGAUUUCUUGUCCAUGGUGGGGUGGAUGGAUUCAGUCAUUUAGUGGUCUACCCUGACUGUGGCGGGCAAUAACAGAGCUAGCACGGUCUUACAGAGGUUUAACACUGCUGAGCAGUAUGGGCUGCCAUCAAGGGUACGGUCUGAUAAAGGGGGAGAGAAUGCAGAUGUUGCAGAAUUCAUGAUCAGGAACAGAGGUGCCAACAGGAAUUUGCACAUCACAGGCAGAAGUGUCCACAAUCAGUGAAUAGAGAGGAUGUGGAGAGAUGUUUAUGAACAUGCCCUGGACAUCUUCUAUCAGAUCUUCACUUCACUGGAAGAUCAGGGAACACUGAAUCCAGACAAUGAAGUUCAUCUUACGCACUGCACCGGAUCUUCCUUCCACUAAUUCAGCAAAGCCUUGAUUCUUUCAGAGAUGCUUGGAACUUUCAUGGUCUUAGAACUUAGAGAAAUCAGUCACCACAGCAACUCUGGAGAAGAUACAGAGAGCAAGGCCCAAUGGAGGAUCCUACUGAGGUUUAUGAAGACUAUGGGAUUGACUGGAACGGACCUCACAGUCUUCAUGGAGGCACUGUGUCAGUACCCAAGAUUCAGCUGGCCCGUGAGCGCUUGGAUGAGGAGGUUGCCAUUCUGCCAGCUCCAGGAGUUUCUGUAACUGAUACACUUAGAUCAUAUAUAGAGACUGUGCAAGUUUUAUCAAGAAUCAUAGCAGACUGAUGUCCAACCUGUGCUUUUAUUUGGCAUCUUAAAACAAGCAGACAUUUGUU